ensembl:lncRNA
GCUUUGUUUUGCAGUAGGAGUGAGAUGUUACCUGUGAGAGGUGUUACCUGUGAGAGAGAGAGAGAUCCGGAGACUGUGCUCAACCUCGACGGAACCAGGAAGCGCAUGGAUCGACCGUUAUGAUUUAGUUUGGAGCAUGUCUUAUUUUUGCUUUACAAAAUAAACAAGUUCCCAACUAAGGGACGAAGGAAACUGGUCUCCCCGCGCUCAUUAACCUGCUACAGUGGAGCCCAAAGUGGGGCGAGCGCAUUGAAAAUGGACCAGUCCCCAUUGGGAAACGUGCUCGGGCACUUGGCCCAGAUGGCGGAGCGACAAAGCCAGUUACACCACGCGCAGAACGAGGUGCUUACGGAACUGGUCCAAUCCUUGGCCGCCGAUUGGGCCAUGCUCCGGGAGCUCCUCAACUCCAGCGGACGCGGCGAGGGACCCCGGGAGGCUACUCCCAACAUUCACAUCCCGAAAAUGGGGGAGACGGACGACGCAGAGGCCUUUCUGGGGACCUUCCAGGGGGUGGCCGAGGUCUCGGGGUGGCCUCGCCAGGAGUGGGCGCACCGUCUCCUACCGCGCCUGACGGGCGAGGCGCAGCUAGCCACCCACAGUCUGCUGGUCGGGGCUCAGCGGGACUAUGACGCCAUCACCCGAGCCAUCCGGGAUCGGCUGGGCCUCUACCCGGAGGAACAUCGGCGGCGGUUCCGGGCGCUGGCCUUCGGCGAGGGGGACCGGCCCUUCGCCUUCGCCCAACAGCUAAGGGACCAGGCCAGGAGAUGGCUGGUUCCAGACCGGGAAUACAGCGGAGGAGGUGGUGGAGCAGGUCGCCUUGGAGAGAUUUGUGGAGGGGCUGCCGGCGAGGACAUCCGCCUGGGUCCGAUAUCACCGGCCCGAGAGUGUCUCCGCUGCGGUCGUCCUAGCAGAGAGCUACCUGCCUCCACCAACGGCGAGCCAGCGACCGCCGGUAGCAGGCCCACGGGCCGGUGCGGCGGCCCUGCGGCGGGACAGAGCAACACCGGCACCAAGGGCGAGAGGGGGGGAGCCCGGUCCAGAGCGGGCACAUGAGUUGCUUCCCCCCCCCACUCCACAGACAGGAGUUCAGACGGCAGGGGAGGGGUGCUGACGUUGCGGGGCCUGGCCACCUCCGGCGGGAAUGCCCUAUGAUGGAGGUGGGUCAUGUCGUCCGCGUCAUCGGUGCCCCGUCUCCUCCCCACGGUCCCGGUGAGGCGUACCGAAUCCCGGUUUGGAUUCAGCGGGGUACGCACCAGGCGCUGUUGGACUCUGUGACGGGACGCGUCGGAUAGGGGGUUGGGCGCGGUCCUGACCCAGCAGGUGGAAGGGGUCGACCGCCCGGUGCUGUACCUGAGCAGAAAACUAUCGGAUCGGGAGGGUCGGUACAGCACAGUCGAAAAGGAGUGUCUCGCCAUCCGAUGGGCGGUCGGCGCCCUUCGCUACUACCUGCUGGGGCGCGCGUUCACCCUUUACUCCGACCACGCCCCCCUCCAGUGGCUCCACCGCAUGAAGGACGUCAACGCGAGGAUCACCCGGUGGUAUCUCGCGUUGCAGCCCUUCAACUUUCGGGAUCGUGCACAGGCCCGGGGCGCAGAUGGCCGUGGCAUACUUCCUCUCCCGUUCCCGGGAGAAGGUUGGCGGCCGGAUAUGCCCGGCCUGUGUUGGGCGGUGGGGUAU